rnacentral:lncRNA from 1 species
GACAGGGCCCAGGAAGCUUGCGGGCUCGGGCCCCAAGGGAGGCGGUGUGCAAAGGAGGGCGCACUUUGGGAUGGGCUCUGCCGGGGCCUCCCUGCAGGCGUGCUGGGACAUGUGGCGUGACCGCUCCUGUGUUUGUCAGGUACAACAGGACAGGAGGUGGGCACCACUUCGGGGCCAGGCGGGGAGAACACCUCUGGAAGACCAUCCACUGGGGCGCCCAGCUCGGGACCACCGGCGACAGAGACCACUGGGCCGUCAGUGAAAGUCACAGGAACUUCAGGACAGCCAUCAGCAGUGACAGGGACUUCAUCUGAAGAGACAGGGAAUACUAUACCAUCAACUGAAGGGUCAACUACAGCAGGGCCAUCAGAAAUAACUGCAUCAUCAGCUGGAACAACUGGUAAUGGCAGACUGUCAGAUGGAGUGACAAGCAAAACUGAACAGUCAACUGGAGUAGCUGGGACAAGUGGACCGUCAGGUAAGGGACAACUGGGACAACUAAUCCAUCAUCAGGAGGAUAUGGUACAGCUGUAUCAUAAGCUUGCAUUUCCAAGGGGGUAGUUACCAGAGA